rnacentral:tRNA from 1 species
UUGGUUGAAACCAAAGAAGAGGUAUACCACUGUUAAUGGUAAAAAUGAAACGUAGUGUUCCAACCAAG